rnacentral:rRNA from 1 species
CUCAGGAUGAACGCUAGCGGCGCGCUUAAUGCAUGCAAGUCGAGCGAUGAGGUCCUGCUUGCAGGACACAUCAGCGGCAGACGGGUGAGUAACACGUAAGUGACCUACCCCGAAGACGAGGAUAACGGGUGGAAACAUCCGCUAAUACUGGAUAGACUCUGGGGGUCGCACCGCAGAGUAAAGCUUCGGCGCUUCGGGAGGGGCUUGCGGCCUAUCAGCUAGUUGGUAGGGUAACGGCCUACCAAGGCAAAGACGGGUAGGGGGUGUGAGAGCACGACCCCCCACAAUGGCACUGAGACACGGGCCAUACUCCUACGGGAGGCAGCAGCAGGGAAUAUUGCACAAUGGACGGAAGUCUGAUGCAGCGACGCCGCGUGGAUGAUGAAGGCCCUCGGGUCGUAAAAUCCUUUUCAGGGGGACGAGGCAGGACGGUACCCUUGGAAUAAGCGUCGGCUAACUACGUGCCAGCAGCCGCGGUAAGACGUAGGACGCAAGCGUUAUCCGGAUUUACUGGGCGUAAAGCGUCUGUAGGCGGAUGGGUAAGUUGGGCGUGAAAGCUCCGUGCUCAACGCCGGAGAGGUCGUUCAAUACUGCCGAUCUGGAGGUCAUCAGAGGGGCGUGGAAUUUCCGGUGUAGCGGUAAAAUGCGCAGAUAUCGGAAGGAACACCAGUGGCGAAAGCGGCGCCCUGGGGUGGACCUGACGCUGAGAGACGAAAGCUAGGGGAGCGAACAGGAUUAGAGACCCUGGUAGUCCUAGCUAUAAACGAUGGAUGCUAGGUGUGGGGUCGAGAAGACUCCGUGCCGGAGCCAACGCGAUAAGCAUCCCGCCUGGGGACUACGGCCGCAAGGCUAAAACUCAAACGAAUUGACGGGGCCCCGCACAAGCAGCGGAGCGUGUGGUUCAAUUCGAUGCUACACGAAGAACCUUACCUGGGUUUGACAUGGAGGUGGUAGGGAAGCGAAAGCGGACCGACCCUUUGGGGAGCCUUCACAGGUGCUGCAUGGCUGUCGUCAGCUCGUGCCGUGAGGUGUCGGGUUAAGUCCCGUAACGAGCGCAACCCUUGCCCUUAGUUACAAGUGUCUAAGGGGACUGCCGGCGGUAAGCCGGAGGAAGGUGGGGAUGACGUCAAG